rnacentral:rRNA from 1 species
AUUGAACGCUGGCGGCAGGCUUAACACAUGCAAGUCGAGCGGAGAUGAGGUGCUUGCACCUUAUCUUAGCGGCGGACGGGUGAGUAAUGCUUAGGAAUCUGCCUAUUAGUGGGGGACAACAUUCCGAAAGGAAUGCUAAUACCGCCUACGUCCUACGGGAGAAAGCAGGGGAUCUUCGGACCUUGCGCUAAUAGAUGAGCCUAAGUCGGAUUAGCUAGAUGGUGGGGUAAAGGCCUACCAAGGCGACGAUCUGUAGGGGGUCUGAGAGGAUGGUCCGCCACACUGGGACUGAGACACGGCCCAGACUCCGACGGGAGGUAGCAGUGGGGAAUAUUGGACAAUGGGGGAAACCCUGAUCCAGCCAUGCCGCGUGUGUGAAGAAGGCCUUAUGGUUGUAAAGCACUUUAAGCGAGGAGGAGGCUACUGAGACUAAUACUCAUGGAUAGUGGACGUUACUCGCAGAAUAAGCACCGGCUAACUCUGUGCCAGCAGCCGCCGUAACAC